rnacentral:rRNA from 13 species
GUUUGGCACCUCGAUGUCGGCUCAUCACAUCCUGGGGCUGAAGCCGGUCCCAAGGGUAUGGCUGUUCGCCAUUUAAAGAGGUACGUGAGCUGGGUUUAAAACGUCGUGAGACAGUUUGGUCCCUAUCUUCCGUGGGCGCUGCAGAUUUGAGGAAGCCUGCUCCUAGUACGAGAGGACCGGAGUGGACACACCUCUGGUGUAUCGGUUGUCACGCCAGUGGCAUUGCCGGGUAGCUAUGUUCGGAAUAGAUAACCGCUGAAAGCAUCUAAGUGGGAAGCCCACCUCAAGAUGAGUAUUCUCAUCACGAAAGUGAGUAAGGUCACGGUAAGACUAACCGUUUAAUAGGCAUCAAGUGUAAGUAUAGUAAUAUAUGUGCUGAGAUGUGCUAACAGACCGAGGACU